rnacentral:rRNA from 1 species
CUCCAGACUCCUACGGGAGGCAGCAGUGGGGAAUAUUGCACAAUGGGGGAAACCCUGAUGCAGCGACGCCGCGUGAGCGAUGAAGUAUUUCGGUAUGUAAAGCUCUAUCAGCAGGGAAGAAGAUGACGGUACCUGACUAAGAAGCCCCGGCUAACUACGUGCCAGCAGCCGCGGUAAUACGUAGGGGGCAAGCGUUAUCCGGAUUUACUGGGUGUAAAGGGAGCGUAGACGGCGAUGCAAGCCAGAUGUGAAAGCCCGGGGCUCAACCCCGGGACUGCAUUUGGAACUGUGUGGCUGGAGUGUCGGAGAGGCAGGCGGAAUUCCUGGUGUAGCGGUGAAAUGCGUAGAUAUUAGGAGGAACACCAGUGGCGAAGGCGGCCUGCUGGACGAUAACUGACGUUGAGGCUCGAAAGCGUGGGGAGCAAACAGGAUUAGAUACCCCGGUAGU